rnacentral:rRNA from 1 species
GACGAACGCUGGCGGCGUGCUUAACACAUGCAAGUCGAAAGAAGUGGCGAACGGGUGAGUAACGCGUAAUCAACCUGCCCAUCCGAGGGGGAUAACAGUUGGAAAGGAAUGCUAAUACCGCAUACUGAAGGACGGGAUUGCGGCUGAUUAGCUAGUUGGAGGGGUAACGGCCCACCAAGGCGAUGAGCAGUAGCCGGUCUGAGAGGGUGAACGGCCACAUCGGGAAUGAGACACGGCCCAGAAUCCUACGGGAGGCAGCAGGGGGGAAGCUUCCGCAAUGGACGAAAGUCUGACGGAGCAACGCCGCGUGAGUGAUGACGGCCUUCGGGUUGUAAAGCUCUGUUAAUCGGGACGCGGUACCGGAAUAGAAAGCCACGGCUAACUACGUGCCAGCCGCCGCGGUAAUAC